GACAGAGGGUGCAAACGUUGCUCGGAAUCACUGGGCGUAAAGGGCGUGUAGGCGGGCAGGUAAGUCGGGCGUGAAAUCCCUGAGCUCAACUCAGGAACUGCACUCGAAACUACUUGUCUUGAGUACCGGAGAGGAAAGCGGAAUACCGUGGUGUAGAGGUGAAAUUCGUAGAUAUCGAAGGUGGAACACCAGUGGCGAAGGCGGCUUUCUGGGACGGUAACUGACGCUGAGACGCGAAAGCGUGGGGAGCAAACAGG
rnacentral:rRNA from 1 species